AUUGAACGCUGGCGGCAUGCUUUACACAUGCAAGUCGAACGGUAACAGGCCGCAAGGUGCUGACGAGUGGCGAACGGGUGAGUAAUGCAUCGGAACGUGCCCAGUCGUGGGGGAUAACGCAGCGAAAGCUGUGCUAAUACCGCAUACGAUCUAUGGAUGAAAGCGGGGGACCGUAAGGCCUCGCGCGAUUGGAGCGGCCGAUGUCAGAUUAGGUAGUUGGUGGGGUAAAGGCCCACCAAGCCGACGAUCUGUAGCUGGUCUGAGAGGACGACCAGCCACACUGGGACUGAGACACGGCCCAGACUCCUACGGGAGGCAGCAGUGGGGAAUUUUGGACAAUGGGCGCAAGCCUGAUCCAGCGAUGCCGCGUGCAGGAAGAAGGCCUUCGGGUUGUAAACUGCUUUUGUACGGAACGAAACGGUCUGGGUUAAUACCCUGGGCUAAUGACGGUACCGUAAGAAUAAGCACCGGCUAACUACGUGCCAGCAGCCGCGGUAACAC
rnacentral:rRNA from 1 species